GGCCUAGUAUACCAAGAUUCGGC
rnacentral:siRNA from 1 species